rnacentral:rRNA from 1 species
UAGUGAUCCGGUGGUUCUGAAUGGAAGGGCCAUCGCUCAACGGAUAAAAGGUACUCCGGGGAUAACAGGCUGAUACCGCCCAAGAGUUCAUAUCGACGGCGGUGUUUGGCACCUCGAUGUCGGCUCAUCACAUCCUGGGGCUGAAGUAGGUCCCAAGGGUAUGGCUGUUCGCCAUUUAAAGUGGUACGCGAGCUGGGUUUAGAACGUCGUGAGACAGUUCGGUCCCUAUCUGCCGUGGGCGCUGGAGAACUGAGGGGGGCUGCUCCUAGUACGAGAGGACCGGAGUGGACGCAUCACUGGUGUUCGGGUUGUCAUGCCAAUGGCACUGCCCGGUAGCUAAAUGCGGAAGAGAUAAGUGCUGAAAGCAUCUAAGCACGAAACUUGCCCCGAGAUGAGUUCUCCCUGACCCUUUAAGGGUCCUGAAGGAACGUUGAAGACGACGACGUUGAUAGGCCGGGUGUGUAAGCGCAGCGAUGCGUUGAGCUAACCGGUACUAAUGAACCGUGAGGCUUAACCUUACAACGCCGAAGGUGUUU